CCUACGGGAGGCUGCAGUAGGGAAUUUUGCGCAAUGGACGGAAGUCUGACGCAGCAACGCCGCGUGAAGGAUGAAGGCCUUCGGGUUGUAAACUUCUGUUGGAUGGGAAAAAAAGCCUUUUAAGAGGAAUUGAUGGUACCAUUCGAGUAAGCACCGGCUAACUACGUGCCAGCAGCCGCGGUAAUACGUAGGGUGCGAGCGUUGUUCGGAAUCACUGGGCGUAAAGGGAGCGUAGGCGGAACUGUAAGUUAGAAGUUUAAUACAUGGGCUCAACCCGUGGUCUGCUUUUAAUACUGCGGUUCUUGAGUAUGGGAGAGGGCGAUGGAAUUCCAGGUGUAGCGGUGGAAUGCGUAGAUAUCUGGAAGAACACCAGUAGCGAAGGCGGUCGCCUGGCCCAAUACUGACGCUGAGGCUCGAAAGCUGGGGGAGCAAACAGGAUUAGAUACCCCUGUAGUC
rnacentral:rRNA from 1 species